rnacentral:ncRNA from 1 species
GAUAACUGGCUUGUGGCGGCCAAGUGUUCAUAGCGACGUUGGGUUUUGGUCCUUUCAUGCUGACACUCCCUAUCAUUGUGAUGCAGAAUUCUCCAAUCAUUGGAUUGUUCACCCACUAAUAAGGAACAUGAGUUGGGUUUAGACCACUGUGAGACAGGUU